CCAGGCCCCCUCCAGUUGUGUUUGGGAAAUGUGGGGUAAAUUCCGGAAAGAGCCCCACCCUUUUUCUUUUGUUCCAACGGGUUAAGCCGGGAACUCAAAGGAGACUGCCAGUGACAAACUGGAGGAAGGUGGGGAUGACGUCAAGUCAUCAUGGCCCUUACGACCAGGGCUACACACGUGCUACAAUGGUGUAUACAAAGGGAAGCGACCUAGCGAUAGCAAGCUGACCUCAAAAGUAGGUCGUAGUCCGGAUUGGAGUCUGCAACUCGACUCCAUGAAGUGGAAUCGCUAGUAAUCGUAGAUCAGAAGCCACGGUGAAUACGUUCCCGGGCCUUGUACACACCCCCCGUCACCCCAGGGGAGUGGGUGGCAAAAGAAGUAGUUGGCUAACCCCAAGGAGGGCGCUACCCACGUCG
rnacentral:rRNA from 1 species